rnacentral:rRNA from 1 species
GACUACCGGGGUAUCUAAGCCUGUUUGCUCCCCACGCUUUCGCGCCUCAGUGUCAGUUCCGUUCCAGAUAGCCGCCUUCGCCACCGGUGUUCUUCCUAAUAUCUACGAAUUUCACCUCUACACUAGGAAUUCCGCUAUCCUCUCCCGGACUCUAGCUUUACAGUCUCAAAUGCCAUCCCCAGGUUAAGCCUAGGCCUUUCACAUCUGACUUGUAGAGCCACCUACGCGCCCUUUACGCCCAGUCAUUCCGAACAACGCUAGCCCCCUCUGUAUUACCGCGGCUGCUGGCACAGAGUUAGCCGGGGCUUAUUCUCACGCUACCGUCAUCAUCGUCGCGUGCAAAAGAGCUUUACAACCCGAAGGCCUUCAUCACUCACGCGGCAUCGCUGGAUCAGGGUUGCCCCCAUUGUCCAAUAUUCCCCACUGCUGCCACCCGUAGG